rnacentral:rRNA from 1 species
AGGACGAACGCUGGCGGCGUGCUUAACACAUGCAAGUCGAGCGGAAAGGCCCUUCGGGGUACUCGAGCGGCGAACGGGUGAGUAACACGUGGGCAACCUGCCCUCAGCUCCGGGAUAGCUCCAGGAAACCGGAAUUAAUACCGGAUACGACCCUGACCGACAUCGGUCAGGGUGGAAAGGUUUACCGGCUGAGGAUGGACUCGCGGCCUAUCAGCUAGUUGGUGGGGUAACGGCCUACCAAGGCGACGACGGGUAGCCGGCCUGAGAGGGCGACCGGCCACACUGGGACUGAGACACGGCCCAGACUCCUACGGGAGGCAGCAGUGGGGAAUAUUGCGCAAUGGGCGAAAGCCUGACGCAGCGACGCCGCGUGGGGGAUGAAGGCCUUCGGGUUGUAACCCCUUUCAGCAGGGACGAAGCGAGAGUGACGGUACUGCAGAAGAAGCGCCGGCUAACUACGCGCCAGCAGCCGC